rnacentral:rRNA from 1 species
GACGUAGGGCGCGAGCGUUGUCCGGAUUUAUUGGGCGUAAAGAGCUCGUAGGCGGUCUGUCGCGUCGGCUGUGAAAACCUGGGGCUUAACUCCGGGCCUGCAGCCGAUACGGGCAGACUAGAGUUCGGCAGGGGAGACUGGAAUUCCUGGUGUAGCGGUGAAAUGCGCAGAUAUCAGGAGGAACACCGGUGGCGAAGGCGGGUCUCUGGGCCGAAACUGACGCUGAGGAGCGAAAGCGUGGGGAGCAAACAGG